UAAAAUUGAGUCUACGUUUGCCAACUUUAUUCAUGUAAGGUAAACCUCCGAAUACAAAAAAUCAGUAAAUAUAAUAAAAUUAAUGAACUGAACCAAACAUCCAAUUAAGCCCUAAAACUAUUAUCCCUAGAACUGAUCACAAAACAAAUUCUUAAGAAUAUACCCUUAAUUGGUUGUAUUCUGCAGUAAUGACAUCUAGUUUCAUAAAUUCCUUGGUGAACAUUUACCCUUUCAAUGCCAAAUUGACACUCACACAGAUGUUCUGAGGAUGGAAGAAAGAAAAACAAUGCUAGGUUAAUUUGUUUGGAAAAAUUCAAUGAAAUGCAUUUAUAAAGAAAUACCUUGUCAUUUCAUCUCCAUCCGACCAAAGUAUUGGCACAAACAUGAAACCCCAAUACCUUAAGAACGCAACUGAGCCAACAUUUGCUUCAUAUUCUUCUAGUGGAGCAACCUAAAGUUAUUGUUGAUAAGCAUAGCAAACCUUUAGUCUUAGAAUAGAUGAUACACUAUCAGGUCUUCAUCAAGCGUCAUGUCUUCAUUAAGCUCCGGCGCGGCGGCGGCGUUGACAGCACGGGUGCAUUAUGAGAUGUCAAAUUGUCAUGGAGAUCAUGAAUUAAUCCAUCGGCAUACUCGUGAAUUACCCAAUUGGCGAUUUUCAUCGAAACAAAACCUUAAGUUUCUUGCCUAAUGUGACUACAGAAAGGUCAAUUUCACCAUGUCAAAUUUACCAUAAAGCCAAUAAGAAGUAAAUGAAAAGCAUAUAUAUAUAUAUAUAUAUAUAUAUAUAUAUAUAUAUAUAUAUAUAUAUAUAUAUAUUUCAUUCCUAAAACAGAGUAAUUUGAAAGUAUUAUAAUUAAAAUUGAAACAUAAUAGCAUAUAUUAAAGAACUAUAAUAAUUAGAAAAGGUUAAGACUGUACAAUUCCUUUAUAAAUACAAAAAAAAAAAAAUAGAUUAACCCGAUCUGAGGUCUCAUAAUUGUGGGUAUUAAUUAACUGUAAUAAACCCACCAAAAAAGUUGUGAAAGAAAAAGAUGGAAAAUGAUAAUGGAUGAGGAAUUAAAACAACAAUAUAACAUGCAAAGUCGGAACAACUCUAUUCUUCAUAAUUUUCAACCUUUCCAUGUUUCUUAAGCCCCAAAAUAACAUAUAGAUUGCCUAAAAAAUCCCCCAGUUGUGACAAUAAUGCGACGCAUAAUCUGUAAACUAAUAAAUAUAUUAACAAAAAAAUAACUACCCUUGAACAAUUCGGAUUUUGUGAAAAGGUUUGGAGAACCUAGAAAUUCACAAAUUAACGAAUUAAAUAAAGUGAAAACUGAAGAUCUUUGUCAUUGUUUAUGAUAUUGAUUUGAAUGAAAGAAUUACCUGAAAAUGCGAGCCGAGAGGGAUUUUGAGAUGAAUUGCGAAAUAUUUUCGAAGAACAGGAAGAUGUAUGAUCUGAAUGCAGACGGUUGAAUGGAGAAGUUGGGAGAAGUUAUGAGAAUGUGUGCAGAGGUAUUUAG
rnacentral:lncRNA from 1 species